AUUUCGAGCUUCUGAACCACAGACAUAUGAUACAAUAAAUAUAUAUAGGUCUUAGUUCUGAACUCACAUCUCCUUAUAAUGAGAAAAUCUGAAGUCAAAAAAGGUAAAGGGUAAGAUCACAGACCUACAUAAUCUAGAUUGUCGAAACAUGACAUUUUUUGUUAUCUCCAUGGAAACUAAAAGGCAAUAAACUUUUGAUUAUAUCAUAGAUUAGAUUUGAGUGAAAAAUUUCCGAAGUUCUGUGAUUAAUAGAUCUAGCCUCUUCUAGAUCUAUUUAACUAUUUAAAUUCCGCGAAAUGGGAUUGUAAUAUUUCUAAACUUUAAAGACUAAAGAUCAUUUUUUUUUUCUGAAAAUGAAGACCGAUUUCCAAGAUUUAGAAAUUAGAUAGAUAUAGAUCUAGAUAGAAUAGUUCUAGACUAGAUGAUAUUACUAUUACUAGAGUCUAGAUCUAGAUUAUAUAUUACAAGCUUAAUAGGAAAGCCUUGAUGCUGAAACCAAGAAGCACCAGCAUACCACAUGCUGGCUAAAUGAUCUUCAAUCUUGGCAUUUGCAAUGAGAUGUGAAAUAAAUAAACUAUGAAAUAAAAAAAAAGUACAAUCAUUAAAUUAAAUCAUCUAAUGUGAAUAAGCAUUUGUAGCAUGUGCAGGGGCGGACUGGCUAUACGGGCAUUCAGGCAAAUGCCCAGUGGGCCGGUAUCCAAAUGGGCUGGUAGGACUACAAUUUGAAAAAAUUAAAAAACACCAUUCAUGAAAUGUACAAAUUAUAUUUGUUUCUAUACUGCAUUCUUGGAGCUGCUGUUUAUAAGAACUCAGUUAUGUCUUCAUUUCAAAGUGUACAUUUAUUUAAAGGCAUUGAAGGAGUUGUGAAUGGAAUGAUUAUGUUUUAUGUAUUAGGUAUGUUCUGGGCUGAGUGCAAACAGUUAUGGGAGGAAGGUGUGAAAGGUUACUUCUCUCAGAUGUGGAACUACAUGGACAUCACCAUGUUGGCUUUGUAUACUGCUGGCUACUCCACUGAAGGUGUGAUCUAUACAAAAACCAAUGGAUACUUUGCUGACAACCAACUGAUUCACUGUGAAGAGUAUACUACUGCUGCAAACCUGCUACAUCAUACAAACAUUUCUUAGUGCACACUAUGAAGGGACACUACUUUUGAAUUUUUUGCCCCUUUUUCAAAUUUGGAUGCUGGCAGCUGCCAUGAUAUGAUUAUGA